AAGAAUGGGUUAUAACCCCCAUUACAUUUGUUUUCUAAUCAAUAAAGCUUUCGAAAUGGGUAUAUGUUUCUACAUCUCUUUUCUAUAUAGUAUAUACUAGUGUCUAGUUGCGGAUGUUCAUUUAUUCUCCUAGACCAAAAUUUGGUGGUACUAUUCAGCAAAAUGACUUCUAGGUUGCAUUACUUUUUUCUUCCCCAAUUUGAAUUUAUCCUUUUAACAUGAACAUGUAUGUGAUUCUUUCUAUUUCAGCCAAGAGGUAGCCUGCUUGAUGUUCAAUUUUCACUUGCCUGAUGUAGGUUACUAAAUUCAAUUUAAUUAAAUAAUUCAAAAUUUUCUACAUCAAUAACUUGUAGCUGAAUCUUAAUGCUCUCAAAGGACUUGCACAAACAGACACACUCAAAAUGAAUUAUUCCUAAUCAAGAGGUAUUAGUUUCUGCUAGUCAAGCAUGUGUACUAAGGUUCCAACGCUUUUUAUAAAAGCCUGAUGCAGAUAACAUUCAUUUGCCUGAAGUGGAUGGGGUCAAAGAUCUGCAACUUGAAAUUGUUGCUGGUGCUGUGAUUAAAGGAUGAACUAUUUGAAGUCUGAAGAGUGUGUCCUUGAAGAUAGUGCAGAGCAAGUUAAAGCAUAUAGGUUCUUAUUUGGGUAGGCUGGUUUAAAGAUGUUGCGUUUGUACAUACACUACAAUUUUUUAUUGUCUUUCCAGGAGCUAAUAAGGUUAAUGCCAUACAAUUUUGAUGGAUAUAUUUUCUAAUUGUCAUCCUUUAUUUCUUUGUAAUUGAUAGUGAAAUUUUAUAUUACUAUUGAUUAUUUGA